rnacentral:rRNA from 1 species
GACGAACGCUGGCGGCGUGCUUAACACAUGCAAGUCGAACGGAAAGGCCCUGCUUUUGUGGGGUGCUCGAGUGGCGAACGGGUGAGUAACACGUGAGUAACCUGCCCUUGACUUUGGGAUAACUUCAGGAAACUGGGGCUAAUACCGGAUAGGAGCUCCGGCUGCAUGGUGGGGGUUGGAAAGUUUCGGCGGUUGGGGAUGGACUCGCGGCUUAUCAGCUUGUUGGUGGGGUAGUGGCUUACCAAGGCUUUGACGGGUAGCCGGCCUGAGAGGGUGACCGGCCACAUUGGGACUGAGAUACGGCCCAGACUCCUACGGGAGGCAGCAGUGGGGAAUAUUGCACAAUGGGCGGAAGCCUGAUGCAGCAACGCCGCGUGCGGGAUGACGGCCUUCGGGUUGUAAACCGCUUUCGCCUGUGACGAAGCGUGAGUGACGGUAAUGGGUAAAGAAGCACCGGCUAACUACG